rnacentral:tRNA from 1 species
GCGGGGGUGCCCGAGCCAGGCCAAAGGGGGCGGGCUCAAGACCCGUUGGCGUAGGCCUGCGUGGGUUCAAAUCCCACCCCCCGCACCA